UACGUAGGGUGCAAGCGUUAAUCGGAAUACUGGGCGUAAAGCGUGCCGCAGGCGGUUUUGUAAGUCUGUCGUGAAAGCCCCGGGCUCAACCUGGGAAUUGCGAUGGAGACUGCAAGGCUUGAAUCUGGCAGAGGGGGUAGAAUUCCACGUGUAGCAGUGAAAUGCGUAGAGAUGUGGAGGAACACCGAUGGCGAAGGCAGCCCCCUGGGUCAAGAUUGACGCUCAUGCACGAAAGCGUGGGGAGCAAACAGG
rnacentral:rRNA from 1 species